ACCAGUUGUCGUGCCAACGGCAUCGCUGGGUAGCUAUGUAUGGACGGGAUAAGUGCUGAAAGCAUCUAAGCAUGCAGCCCCCCUCAAGAUGAGAUUUCCCAACUUCGGUUAUAAGAUCCCUCAAAGAUGAUGAGGUUUAUAGGUUCGAGGUGGAAGCAUGGUGACAUGUGGAGCUGACGAAUACUAAUCGAUCGAAGACUUAAUCAA
rnacentral:rRNA from 1 species